AUGAAUGUCAUGGGGAACAACCUCUUCGACACAAAGUUUCAUCGCAAAACUCAUGAAUCUCAUUGGCGCCAGCGUCUGAGAAUGGCUAAACCACCGCCAAACACCAACAACCGCCGGAACCAAGUGCAAAGACACGAUAAAAAAGCAAAGACAAACGUUAGAAAGACUUCACGAUCACUCUGUGAUUUGGCUUCUUUGAGUUGA